GACCACCCACAAGUGUGGGUUAAGGCCAGACGGACAGCCGGGUCCAUAGCCGA
rnacentral:sRNA from 1 species